CAAGGUCCCGGCUCUCUGCAGUAAUAAUACAUGAACAGCUCCUCUCCCUCAUCCAUUAAUCAGGAGGGAGGCUGAGAUGACAUGAUAAUGUGUGAUGAGAGUAACAUGAGAGAAGGAAUGAAGGAGGAGGUUGCUAACUCCAGGUGCAUCAGAAGAGCCAUCCUCAAAACUCCUCCCACCAAGAUCAUCAUUUGUUUACUUUAAUGCCUUCAGGCAGCGUUAUAGAUUGAUGGAAGCCUCAGCCACCAGGACAAAAACUAAUUUUUAUCCAGAGGCCGUCAGAGCUUUCAACUGUGCAUGUAAAUCACAUUGAUUUCUAUUUUAGUAAAAACAGUCACUUUAAUCUUGUACAGUUCUACCUGCUAUUGGUAACUUUUAUAUAUGUUAUAUGUUUAUAUAAAAUAAAGGACCUAAACUA